GUAGGAUAAAUAAUGAUUGCUCAUGGAUGCCUACUUUGUGAUUAAAAUACCACCGAUUUAAUUGUCAUCAAUCACAAUCUUGAAACUUUAAUUUUGAUGUGGAAAGCCAUGGUGCAUGUGGAACAUGAAAUUCAUGGUUAGUAUGAUUCCUUUUCCUUUUCCUCGUCAUUCAAAGUGAUGACCUUGACCAUUACUUUAAAUGAUGG
rnacentral:lncRNA from 1 species